rnacentral:ncRNA from 1 species
AGGAAAGUAGGAAAGGGCGCAUGGCGGAUGCCUUGGCUCUCGGAGGCGAUGAAGGACGUGAUAAGCUGCGAUAAGUCACGGGGAGGUGCAAAUAACCCUUGAUCCGUGAAUCUCCGAAUGGGACAACCCGUUACCUUGAAGAGGUAACAUCCAUCAAUGAUGGAGGCUAACGCAGGGAACUGAAACAUCUUAGUACCUGCAGGAAAAGAAAAUAACAAUGAUUCCCCCAGUAGUGGCGAGCGAACGGGGAAGAGCCCAAACCGUUCAUGUUACGGCAUGGACGGGGUUGUAGGACCGCGUUGUUGCAAGAAAUUUUGCGAGAAGAACGAUUUGGAAAGUUCGGCCGAAGACGGUGACAGCCCGGUAUUCUAAGCAAGACGAAGCAUAGCGGUAUCCUGAGUAGCGCGGAACACGAGGAAUUCUGCGUGAAUCUGCCGGGACCAUCCGGUAAGGCUAAAUACUCCCGAGAGACCGAUAGUGGACCAGUACCGUGAGGGAAAGGUGAAAAGCACUUCGAACAGAAGAGUGAAAUAGUACCUGAAACCGUGCGCCUACAAGCGG